rnacentral:misc_RNA from 1 species
CAACCCUCAGGUACCCCCCGCUGCGUCUGUGGCGGGUGGGAGCCUGGUGUUGGGGACCGGCGGAAAACCUGCCCCAGGGCAGCCGCCGCCCCCUAAAUGAAUUGGCGGCCUCGUCGCGGCCCUCCUCUGCGUAGUAGCACACACCUCGCAACGGGAGCCCGGCGGCGGCCACUGCCGUAAAACGCACAAUCUUCUCUUCUAGAG